UGGGGAAUAUUGGACAAUGGGCGCAAGCCUGAUCCAGCCAUGCCGCGUGAGUGAUGAAGGCCCUAGGGUUGUAAAGCUCUUUCACCGGUGAAGAUAAUGACGGUAACCGGAGAAGAAGCCCCGGCUAACUUCGUGCCAGCAGCCGCGGUAAUACGAAGGGGGCUAGCGUUGUUCGGAUUUACUGGGCGUAAAGCGCACGUAGGCGGACUAUUAAGUCAGGGGUUAAAUCCCGGGGCUCAACCCCGGAACUGCCUUUGAUACUGGUAGUCUUGAGUUCGAGAGGGGUGAGUGGAAUUCCGAGUGUAGAGGUAAAAUUCUUAGAUAUUCGGAGGAAAACCAGUGGCGAAGGCGGCUCACUGGCUCGAUACUGACGCUGAGGUGCGAAAGCGUGGGGAGCAAACAGG
rnacentral:rRNA from 1 species